UGGAUAAUAGUUAAAAAAAAUAACAUUUAAAUUGCAAUUAAAAAUUUAUAAUAUAUUUAUUAUAUUAUCUUA
rnacentral:tRNA from 1 species